AACCUUCUUCCUCUCUGUGUCCUGUUCUUCCAGUAGUAAUGGCUGGGUUUUGGACACAUCUUGUCCUGCAUAUUUGCCUCUUCUGACGCUGUCAAGAGCAGAACAGUGUUGUGGUAGCAGGAGACAUAAACAAGAUGAAGAACAUUAAUUCUCCCUGACUUAAAUCAUAGGCAGUGUUAUCUAGGCUCUGAACUUAGUUUGUAUCCAGAUAAUAAUGGGAAGCAGGAUGAAACAUUUUUGUUUCCAUUCCAGGCCUUUUAAUAGCAAAUAUUUCUCCUUGGAAGAAAUGUUUUCCUAACUGGACAUUUUUUCUCCAAAAAUGGAAGUUCCACUCUACUGGGUUGGUGUGAGAAAACUUUGAGCUAACAAAUCCUUGCCACUGGACUCCUGAGGAUCCUGAGAGAGCAAAGGCCUUAAACCUUGAUGAGGAUCAGCAGAAAGGGAUGUGGUCCCUGGCAGGGUGGACAAGAGAUUUUAUGAUUUCUGGGAGAAGUACUUGUUUCAACUUAUUAAGCUGAAGAUCAAAAGAAGUGAAGAUUUCAAGUGGACUCUCCAAUAAAAGUCACCAUGUCCCAGGAAGACCGGUCGUGUUCCUAAGUUACAAAAGCAGUAGUUUAUUAGGUAGAUAUAAUUCAUUACAGAAAAAUAAAAGCUUUUAUUUCCAAGACAGUAUUUUAAAAGAAAUCCAUCUCCUAGCAUGUUGGACCUCAGAUUUUUUUUCAGUAUACUGUUAAUACCAGUUUUAAGACAAUUAACAAAACCUUCAGUUCAUCUCAGAGGGAGGUUAAAUCAAACAGCAGGAGGGUAUCAGUAUUUUUUACAAUAACAUUUCAAUCAUUGACCCUAUGACGGCCCCACUAGUGCAACCCACUAUUUCCUUUAUUAAAGCCUGAACAUUUCACAGAGUUCAUCCCUGACACCAGGGUUUCCAGGCUGAAGUCACAGCACACAGGGCUGCCAAGUGCCUUUCACCAAAACACAGCAUGAAGGCUGCUGUAUCCACAACAUGAAGGCUGUUAUAUAGCUCAGAUUCUGAUCCUAAAACCCUCAUCCAUGCCUGCCAAAAAUGACCUGAAAGGCUUCUUCAGGUAGCACCAGUGUGGGUCAGGCCAAAGUACCUAAUGCCUGAGCUUGUGUGCAUUUCUGCCUCUGUCAGCUGGGCACCUGGAAAAGAUAAAACACACUUACUGCAACCAGUUCUGCACUCCAGUCUGCUCCUGCACCAAGAUCACAUCCUGAAUGUGGAAAAUGUCCUUAUGCAAAUCUCAGAUUGUGUUCACUGAUGUUUUGCAUUUGGGUUUGUUUUCCUUAUUCAGCAUAGUAAGGGCUUCAGGAUAGCAGUAAAGCUACUGUACAGCUAACUGAACUCCUAUACCAUUAGGCAAAUUAAUUUUACAUAUAAAUUAUUUAAAUUUAAUCUGUGAUUAGUUCCCUGUAUGAGCAGUGAUACCACUAUAGCACAAGUAUUUUCCUUUUUAGAGAAUUGCAGCAUGAUAAAUAAAUGAAUAAAGACUUACAGAAAUGUAUUCCAGCACAUGUGUUGAGAAGCGUUCUUAUCAGAAAUCUUGGAAAUCACAAUAUUCCCUAUGGCCCCCUAGUCUGCAUUAAAAAUAACUAAAGACUGUAGUCAUAAUUUUUUUUUUUCAAAACAUGAAAUGCAUUUUAUGCAACAAUGCCUCACAUGAGACACAAACUCAACUGAGCUUACAAAUAUUAGACAUUAGCUCUUUGCAUAGCCUUGCUUCAGCUAACAGGCCCUAUUGGUAGCUGCAGAUGCAUUGAAACCCAGUUUUUAGAUUAAAAUUCAUGAAAGAUGUCUCACAUUUUCACUGAAAUGUCUAUUGUUGGCUUUCUAGUAGUGGCGAGGGAGGAGGAAAGAGAGAAAAAAUUAAGAAAUGUGGUAAGUAGUACUACUCCAUUUGCCUCAGAAUAGCAAAAACAAUUUCAGUUCUUUUGUAAUCAGUUAUAAUUCCUCAUAUUGCAGUCAGUAUUGCCUGUCCUGACUCUUGAUUCUUGAACACAACUCACCCUGAUAAAAAUGAGAUAAUAUUUGAUGAUUUUGGUGGUUGCUGCCCAGUUUUGGGGGUUUUUUGCAUUCAUGAAUCAAAAUGGUUAUUAGGAUGGAGAUCUUAAUAAGACAUCCACAAGAGGAAUAAAUAGAUAAAAAAGCUAAUAUAAACAAUCUAGUUUAUUAAUAUUCAGAGGAAGAGGUUUACUUUUAAAGGGCUAGCUCUGCUGGUCUCAUUCAUGGUCACAAAUCCACUUUGCAGCUCAUUGUCAUUAAUAUCAGAAAAAUACUGAUAGUAAAUAGCCACACAGGGAAUAGGUAAAAUUAAAGCCUCAAAUCUCUAAAUUUCUUCUAGGUUUUUUAUUAAUAGCCUCAGAAAUCUGCUUGAGUGUUUUUGUGUCUGCAAACAAUAAUAAACAGGAAAAAAACAAUAAUAAACAGGAAAAAAAAGGGGUUUGCAUUUGGUCAUUCAUAAGCAUAUUCUUGUCUGUUUUUCAAGCAGGGUGUGAUCCCACUAACUUGUUUAGUUGAUAACCUCAUAUGACCCAACAAGUCCUCACAGAAUGAACCCCUGGCUAUUUCUUUUUCUUCCUCCUCUAUGCCAGUGAUUUCCUAAUUCCGUCUCCAGUCGAGCUGCCUUGUCCAAAAAAAAUCAGACUGUGACAACUGUGAGCCUAUUACAUGCACAUCUGCUUAACAAAGUAUUGGAAGAGAAUUGUUGAUUUUUUUGUGGGUUUUUUUUUCUCUGAGGGGGAGGGCUUGGGGUCAGACAGAGGUGCUAAUGAUUUUUUUGUUUCAGAGUUUUUGUUUCUGCUUUAUUAAUAAGGGCUUAACAAUGGUAAUUUGGAAAAAAGAACCUGUUGAAAUAUAAAAAAUCACAAGCAGAGGUUAGUAGGAAGAAGAAUAUAAUUUCUGUGCAAUUCAAAGCCAUGCUGCAAGGCAUGUUUGCUAAAAGCAAUAUAUUUCUAUCAGCAGAACCAUUCCAUAGUAGAAGCACUCAUUUUGUAGUAGUCCUGUGAAAUAUAUGUGAAAGGAUUUGAGAAAUUGUCUUCUAUGCAAAUAAACCUCAUUGUCUCAUUGUAAAUUUGCCUACAAGUAGUGGACUGGUAUCCUUCAAGUAAUUUUUUAUUUUCUAGAAGAAAAAUACAAGGGGUUAUUUUGAACUGAAAAUUAACAUUUUAAA